UCAGAGCAGCGUUCGGGUAAUAAGCUUAUACACAACUCUACUUUUUUGAGCACAAGAUGUUAACCACAGGAUUCGGACGCCUUCUUAGACCGUGCAGACGACUUGUGAUCUGUUCGCCCAACAAAGUGGUCGAAGGACUCACACCAUUCCAGCCACUUUUCCUGCCUGACUCUGUUGGCAGUUUCCUUGGCAUCCGUGACAGCUUCCCUUAGGAGGGAUAGGUUGUCAGGGGUUCUUUGCCUUCGGAAU